ACUGAACGCUGGCGGCAGGCCUAACACAUGCAAGUCGAACGGUAACAGGAAUCAGCUUGCUGAUUUGCUGACGAGUGGCGGACGGGUGAGUAAUGUCUGGGAAACUGCCUGAUGGAGGGGGAUAACUACUGGAAACGGUAGCUAAUACCGCAUAACGUCGCAAGACCAAAGAGGGGGACCUUCGGGCCUCUUGCCAUCGGAUGUGCCCAGAUGGGAUUAGGUAGUAGGUGGGGUAACGGCUCACCUAGGCGACGAUCCCUAGCUGGUCUGAGGGGAUGACCGGCCACACUGGAGCUGAGACACGGUCCAGACGCCUACGGGAGGAAGCAGGGGGGAAUAUUGCACAGUGGGCGCGAGCCUGGUGCAGCCAUGCCGCGUGUAUGAAGAAGGCCUUCGGGUUGUAAAGUACUUUCAGCGGGGAGGAAGGGAGUAAAGGUAAUACCUUUACUCAUUGACGUUACCCGCAGAAGAAGCACCGGCUAACUCCGUGCCAGCCGCCGCUGUAA
rnacentral:rRNA from 1 species